GAGAGCCGUAUGACGUGAGAGCGUCACGUACGGUUCGGAGAGCGUUGCGCCUUGAAAGCGCGUUGAACUCUGC
rnacentral:ncRNA from 1 species